UUAUGGAAAAGAAAUGACUUCUUUGCCUUCUUCGACAACUUUCCUUUAUCUUGAAUCCCAAGUCAUGACAGUCCGCCGUUCACAUUUUAAAUUAUAUUAAUUAAGUUCAAUUAGACUAAUUAGAUUAAUUUCUUCGCAUAGGCGUCUAGGGUUUGCUUUACAUCUUGUCUAGUUUUUGCAUGAGUCGCUUCUUCGGCUCCUUCAUUGUUGUUCGACUUCGCUCGUCAACGUUCCCUUCUUGUUGGAUCUGACGUCUUGACAUUUUAAUUGGAAGCAACUACGAGGAGCUUUCUCUCUGUUAAUGAAACUAUCAUUCUCCCUUUCGCGCUCUUCUUCAGCCAAAUCCUAAAUCCGAGAAAUUUCGGGAUUUAUUAAAUCCCGGAUUUACGGCCAAUAAGGGAGACGGAGGAUUUAUCCCUCCGUGAGAUUUAGCGGGCGCUCAAAUCUUGUUCACAGGAUUUGGCAAAAAUCCUGCUAAAAAUGGCAUAAAUCCUGUUAAAUCCUUUAUCCAGACAGUCCUAGGGAUUAGCCACUAACGACGCAUGGAUAUCCAUAUGCUUGCUAUUUUUUAUGAUCUGUAAUCUUUGGAUGUCCUUCAGCUUAUGAGGCAACAACAGCUGGCAUUACUAUGGGGAUUUAUACAUAGCUUGACAGGGGCGCCUGGGUGCUAUCUUUAUGUUGCCUUAAAGGCAAUUAGUUUUUGUGUGUGUGUGUGUGAGUUGAUGCCCUGGAGAGUUUUAUAUUUGAGAAGAAGGAUUAAUGGUUUUGCUGGUAACAAGGAACUGUUGUUGGGUCCUAAUAUUUUGGUUGCAAUUUAUAUGAAGGUAUUCUAUAAAUUCAAUUCAUAUCAAAGGGAAGUAGUUUGUAAUUGUUAUCAAGCUCUAUGCUUUAUGCAGUAUCAGAUGAUCCCUAAUGCAUUUUUUGUAAAUAAUACACACUCUCUCUCUAUGUUUCUAUCUAUCUAUAUAUGUAAUUGAAAAAGUGGUCAGUUUCUUGCUUGUAAACUAAAUGAUGCACAAUCUUCUUAUUAAUUACUUUAUAAGUUCAAUUGUU